UGGGGCUACACACGUCAUACAAUGGCCGGUACAAAGGGUCGCAAACCCGCAGGGGGAGCCAAUCCAUCAAAGCCGGUCGUAGUCCGGAUCGCAGUCUGCAACUCGACUGCGUGAAGUCGGAAUCGCUAGUAAUCGUGGAUCAGCAUGUCACGGUGAAUACGUUCCCGGGUCCUU
rnacentral:rRNA from 1 species